GACGAACGCUGGCGGCGUGCUUAACACAUGCAAGUCGAACGAUGAAGCCGGAGCUUGCUCUUGGGAAUUAGUGGCGAACGGGUGAGUAACACGUGAGUAACCUGCCCUUGACUCCGGGAUGACUGCUAGAAAUGGUAGCUAAUACCGGAUACGCCCCUCGGAGGCCUCUUCAGGGGGUGGAAAGAAUUUCGGGCAGGAAUGGACCCGAGGCCGAGCAGGUAGUUGGUGAGGUAAGGGACCACCAAGGCGACGACGGGUCGCUGGCCUGAGAGGGUGCCCGGCCACACUGGGACUGAGACACGGCCCAGACUCCUACGGGAGGCAGCAGUGGGGAAUAUUGCACAAUGGGCGCAAGCCUGAUGCAGCAACGCCGCGUGAAGGAUGACGGCCUUCGGGUUGUAAACCUCUUUUAGUAGGGAAGAAGCGAAAGUGACGGUACCUGCAGAAAAAGCACCGGCUAACUACGUGCCAGCCGCCGCCGUAAAAC
rnacentral:rRNA from 1 species